rnacentral:rRNA from 1 species
CCUACGGGAGGCAACAGUGAGGAAUAUUGGUCAAUGGCCGGAAGGCUGAACCAGCCAUGCCGCGUGAAGGUCAGUGCCCUAUGGGCGUUAAACUUCUUUUGUGCGGGAGCAAUAAUGGUCACGUGUGGCCAGACGAGAGUACCGUACGAAUAAGCAUCGGCUAACUCCGUGCCAGCAGCCGCGGUAAUACGGGAGAUGCAAGCGUUAUCCGGAUUUAUUUGGGUUAAAGGGUGCGUAGGCUGUGAGGGAAGUCAGCGGUGAAAUGCCCCCGCUCAACGGGGUGAAGUGCCAUUGAUACUGCCUUUCUGGAAUGCGGAUGCCGUGGGAGGAAUGUGGGGUGUAGCGGUGAAAUGCGUAGAUAUAACACAGAACACCGAUUGCGAAGGCAUCUCACGAAUCCGCGAUUGACGCUGAUGCACGAAAGCGUGGGUAUCAAACAGGAUUAGAUACCCUAGUAGUC